UAGGGAAUCUUCCACAAUGGGCGCAAGCCUGAUGGAGCAACACCGCGUGAGUGAAGAAGGGUUUCGGCUCGUAAAGCUCUGUUGUUAAAGAAGAACACGUAUGAGAGUAACUGUUCAUACGUUGACGGUAUUUAACCAGAAAGUCACGGCUAACUACGUGCCAGCAGCCGCGGUAAUACGUAGGUGGCAAGCGUUAUCCGGAUUUAUUGGGCGUAAAGAGAGUGCAGGCGGUUUUCUAAGUCUGAUGUGAAAGCCUUCGGCUUAACCGGAGAAGUGCAUCGGAAACUGGAUAACUUGAGUGCAGAAGAGGGUAGUGGAACUCCAUGUGUAGCGGUGGAAUGCGUAGAUAUAUGGAAGAACACCAGUGGCGAAGGCGGCUACCUGGUCUGCAACUGACGCUGAGACUCGAAAGCAUGGGUAGCGAACAGGAUUAGAUACCCUGGUAGUCCAUGCCGUAAACGAUGAGUGCUAGGUAUUGGAGGGUUUCCGCCCUUCAGUGCCGGAGCUAACGCAUUAAGCACUCCGCCUGGGGAGUACGACCGCAAGGUUG
rnacentral:rRNA from 1 species